rnacentral:lncRNA from 1 species
AGAUUAACUUAGUGGUGGCGGUUAGGGUGCAAGUGUAUUAUAGGUCUUGCACCAUAUAAGAGCACAUUUGGCCUGUUAUAAUAGGUAAGAUUACCUGCUGAGAAAAAAAAAAUAUAGCAUCUAAUUACAAAAAUACCCUCCUCUAAACUCAGAUCUCCUUCCUGUAAGCUAUGUAGAUUUUCCUCCAAUUUUUUUUUUAAAUAAUCAAUCAUCACGGAUCGUGGAGUGUUGUCUUCGAAGUUAACCCUUUCUGUUUGGUAAUUGCUACUUGGGUGCUUACAUUAUUAGGUCAUGGAUCGUCGAGUGGUGAAGUUUGACUUGCUUAGAGUCUAUGAAUUACAACAUGGCUAUACGGGGGCGACGUAAAGUUUGAGGCGGCGAAGACGGAAAGCUUGCAAAGCGAACUUUUAUUAGAUAGAUUUUGUAUUUAAUUAUCAUCAAACCUUAUUUUGUCAUACGCCGAAUUUAUUAUUUGGUUUUUGUGAGCGAGUUAUUAUUUAAGUAUUGGGAUAUUAUUAAAUUGCGAUUAGAUAUUUGAUUUUGAAAAAUUAAGUUAAUUGAUUUGUUUUGGAAAAGUUUUUGAAAAUAAAAUCAAAACUCAUUUGAAUUCAAGUAAGAACUUGGACUAUUCUGUAUAAGGAAAUAAGGGCUUUUAAUCAGGCACUGUGCCGAACCAGCUUACCUAAAAACAUCUCGGAUUAUUGCCUGGGUGAUGAUGAGCCCUUAUUUCAAAAAUUCACAUCACCCUUUGGAAAAAAAAUCUGAGUUAGUCCCAAACUUGUUGGGUUACUAAUGUGAUUCCCGGUUGAGAAAUUGGGGCGUUACAAAGACGGUGAACAGUUUCUCUUGAGAUGAUAAUGAAGAUGGCUUAUGUUGAGCAUCAUUGUCUUGUCUAUGAUCUUGAGAAUCACUUCUUUGAAGGUUGAGGGUUCCUCUACAACAUCGGCAUAGUGCUCUUCCAAUGUCUAAGUCAAGCUAAGUUGUACGAUCUGCAUUGCUUCUUCUUCAGUAAUACUCCAAAGGCUUUUCUAAUCGUGAGUUCUUCGAUGCUUGUUGAUGACUUGUCCCUUGAAUCAUCUGGUCAUGUCGCGCCCUUCCUUGAUUUGGUUGUUAGCAACAACCUAGGAGCAUAUCUUUCAAGUGUAUGGAGAUAUGGCUUUGUGAGAAUCUUAGUCGAUGACAAUCCUUGAUUCUUCUCCAUGGAUCUUUACUCUACACUUGUUAAGGUGUUAGUAUUCAUAGAUUAUGCUCUAAUACCAAUUGAGAUAAUCAAAAGUAGCACAAUAAAGAGGGGUUUGAAUUGUGCCAUAAAAAAACUUGGUUUUUCGAACAGUUAAAAGCAUUGGUAUCGUUUUGUGCAGCAGAUAAGUGAGUAUAGAUAAAGAAUCAAGGGACACCAUUAUUUUUAUCCUGGUUCACCCCCAAAAUGAUAGGGCUACAUCUAGUCCUCGGCUAUACCAAGAUUUCAUUAUGCCAGUGUCAAGCACUUCUCCUUACAAGUACUAUCGUUCAUGCCUCUUUAGACAUUGUUGAGUAUUCUUUUGCCACUGCCUCUCCAGACAUAACAAGUAUUCUUUUGGCACUGUCUCUCCAGGCAUUACAAGUAUUCUUAAGACUUUUCCUUACAAGUAUUUUCAGGACUUCUCCUUACAAAGUAUUAAACAAGACUUCUGCUUAAACGAUCUAUUACAAGAUCGUCUACUUCUACAAGGUUUUCUUCUUCUAAGAGUGAUGGUAGAAACAUUUCAUUCCAUGAAUCAUAAAGUAUUAAGGAUAAGAUAUGACUCUGAGAGUAUACUUUAUGUUCUAUUACAUGAGAGAUUAAGUAAUGGAAAAUAAUGAGAAUUCUCUCAUCUUGAAGCAGAUGUCAAUGACAGACUCUUCUGAUUAUGAGUGAUGAUGAAAUUUUGUAUAUAUAUUGGAGGAUAGCUCAAAGAUAAAGAAUGGACAAGGAAUUUUGUAUAUUAAACUCUAUUUUUACAAUGAAAAGAUAAAUUGCACCUGCCAAGAAUUGAUUCAUAGACCUAAGCAUUUCAACUCAUAUUUCUCCUAGCUCUUAACAUUUGAGCUAUCAUUCGAGGACAAAAACACUUAUACUUUUCUAAUUUAUUAAAAUAAAUACUUCAUAAAAUAUCACAUGUAAGUGAACUAAAAUGUGAAAAAUGGUGCCAACAAAUUCCUGAUUUUUUAGUAUUUAGUUGGUAGAUAAUUGUACUGAUGAAGUAUUUAGUCAAGGGUAAAUCUUUAUGGGCAAUUAGAUAAUUGUUAUUCUCACCCAUUUCUCAUCUAGUUCACCCUUCUUAAAAUGGUGAGAAGAUAAAAAUGUCAUUAAUGAAAAAGCAAAACUACUAAAAUGUCAUUAGUGAAAGAAAAAAAAUAACAACUCCACCCCAUCCUCUCUCCUCUUCCUCUUCCUUCCUUCACGAACACCACUCAUCUUCAUUUCAUCUUCAUUCUAUCCUUAUCUCAUCUUCAUUCUAUUUUCAAACUCAUCUCCAUCUUCUCCUCUCUCAUUUUUUUUUUCUAUCAAUGUAGCUCAUUUCCAUUUGUCCAUCAUCGUCGCUAUUACAGUUGUCCUUUUCAUAUUUUUUUUCUAUUAUUGGAAAAAUUAUUUGCUUAGAAAAAUUUAACUAUUCAGAUCUCAACGCAUCGAAGAGACCAAAUCUAUAUGGUGGAAAUAAUCUAGCGGGUAAUAAUAGACAUAUUGAAAAAUUGCCGUUAUUAUGGGUCCAAAUAUACGAAUGUCGAUCAGUACUAUUUAUCUGACCACUAAUUCUAAGAUUUAAAGACGCGUGUCACAAAAGAUACUGUCAAUAGCCUGAAACGACACUCAUUACACGUUGUCUUGUGCCCUUGAAAGCAACUCGUGAUAUAUUUUAUUUUUUAAAAAUUGCCUAUCACUAACCUCGUGAUCAUAUGACAAUGACAAUCGAUUUUGUGUCAAGCACUCAAGGCUCUCCUCCCCAGAGGCUCGGACACGAACACAACUUACACAAGGGGUGUGGUAUAGAUUUGUGUGUCUCUCUAUUGGGAAAUUAUUUUUUCCCCUCACUUCUUUUAAAGUUUAGGUUCUAACAUAUUGUAGUCUAGAUGAAUUAAACACCACUUGAUUUUGAAAAUUAAAUUAGGUUAGAUGAAUUUGAAAUAAAUUGGUUUAUUAUCUAUGAAAUAAGGAUUAAUAUGAUAAAGCUUGAUUCCCCUUAUUAAGGUUUUGGGUUCGAGUCUUGUGGAUGGAGAACACUCCAGUUGAAAAAGUUAGUCACACUAUAAUGUAGAUAUUCCUCACUCAAAGAGGAUUAUCUCUGAAGAAUGACACUUGUCUUAAAAAAAAUUCUUUCAUUUUUAGUAAAUAAUUAAUUGUCUUUUUUUAAAAUGUUACUUAAAUAAAUACUAGUAUGGAUAGCAUAAAUGAUACUUGAUGAAUUAAAAUUUCUCAAGUUUUGUGUUCAAAUCUUACCGGUAACUAGAUACCAAUAAAUAAAUAAAAUUUUGAAAUUUAAACAUAUCGUAAUUUUUAAGGGUCGUCUAAAUGACGCAUGUUGGUUACUAAUAACACACAACUCAAUGAACCAAUAAUUUUUUUUAUAAAUAAAUAAAAUAUAAAAAUUUUAACUCACUUAUCUUCAAUGCGAUUAGAGAAUGAGUUAUUUAACCCAAAUUUUCUCAUGAGUUAUUUAGGCAACCCUAAUUUUUUAAAAUUCUAAUUUGAAACCAUCAAAUUGCUUUACGGUUUUGUUUUAUUUACACUACACAUGCUUAAUUUUAUUUUCACCUACUUAAUUGUAUAUCUCCUUUUUUUUCACUUCCUUGGUAGUUUGUGAAUUAAAGUUUAUUGAGCUCUUUACCAUCCUUCGUCAAUCUCUAUAUAUGCCAGGUCCUUGAGCACAAGUGCACAACCAUUCACCACCAUAGUUGAAAUCCAUAUCUUCACUAGCCAAAAAUAGUGUGAUCACCGAACUCACCAAGCAAGGCCAUGUCGAAGGUGGUUUGUGUCACUGGAGCCAGCGGCGCCAUCGGAUCAUGGGUGGUUAAGCUCCUCCUCGACCGUGGCUACACCGUCCACGCCACCGUCCAAGAUCUCAGUAACAAUCAAACGCCUUACUUCUUUCUUACAUAAACAAGAGAGUUUGAAGGUGGUUUGUGUCACUGGAGCCAGCGGCGCCAUCGGAUCAUGGGUGGUUAAGCUCCUCCUCGACCGUGGCUACACCGUCCACGCCACCGUCCAAGAUCUCAGUAACAAUCAAACGCCUUACUUCUUUCUUACAUAAACAAGAGAGUUUCAUUCACAGCAUUUUUCUUACACCCCAUUUUCAUGCAUAUGGUAUAAAAGGAAGAUAAUUCUCUUCUUUUUGUCCUAAUCACAUGGGAUGUAAGUUCUCUGUUCUCACUCCCUUGUAACAACAUGCAGUUGAAAUUCAAGGGUAGGAUAAUAAUAUAUAAAUUAUAAGGGAAACAUUGACUAUAACAUUAAAAAUAACAAUAAAAAUCAGCAUUAGCAUAAAUUUAUCAAUUAACUUUGUGGAGAUAAUGUUGUGACGUGUUGCAGAGGAUGAAAAAGAGACCAAACAUCUGGAGGCAAUGGAAGGAGCUAAGGGCCGUCUCCGCCUCUUCGAGAUGGACCUUCUUGACACCAACUCCAUCGCCACCACCGUGAAGGGUUGUAAUGGCGUCAUACACCUUGCCUGUCCUAAUGUCAUUGGCCAAGUCACAGAUCCAGAGGUUAAAAAAAUUAAAUUUUCAUCACAAGAAAAAACUUGAGUGUAGUGGGAAAUUGGUCUACGAAAAUGUUGGUCAUUGCUACGCAGUAAUGUAGAUAAAGUUAGUUUUCAUGACGACAUUCUUAUCUUAAAAAAACUAAUUUGACCGACAUCGUAAACAAUUAAAAAUGAUCAACGGACAUGUUUUAAGUUCAAAGACGAGCUUGCUGAUGUCAAACACUUAUGAGUACCAAUUUCAUGGUCACUAGAAAAACUAAUUGAUACGAGAAAAAAUAAAGAAAAUAAGAAAUUGAGUGUGAAAAAAUAAAGUAAAAGGAUAGAAAUUGAGACAUGUGGGUGUGCACGUGCAGAAACAAAUAUUGGAACCGGCAAUAAAAGGGACAGUAAAUGUUCUGAAGGCGGCGAAGGAAGCAGGGGCGGAGCGGGUGGUGGCGACUUCGUCUAUCUCCGCCAUCACGCCGAGUCCGAAUUGGCCAGCUGAUAAGAUCAAGGGAGAGGACUGUUGGACGGAUCUUGAAUACUGCAAGGAAAAGGGGGUGAGUUUUUUUUUCCUUUUCUUUUUUUAAUGUGUUUUUAAUUAAUUGACAAUAUCCUGCUCAUGAGAUAUUCUUAGUUCUUACCCCUAGAUAGAUGAAAAUUUAUUUCUCUUUUUAACGAUUUUCUUUGUCUUUUUCUCUGUUCUUUUCAGUACAAGCAUAAUUUCACUGUGAUAUUUCUGAGUCAAAUAAUUUUUUUCCAUCUAAAAGUUAAAUUUUAUUUGAUCCUUUAAAAAAAUAGAUUAACUUAGUGGUGGCGGUUAGGGUGCAAGUGUAUUAUAGGUCUUGCACCAUAUAAGAGCACAUUUGGCCUGUUAUAAUAGGUAAGAUUACCUGCUGAGAAAAAAAAAAUAUAGCAUCUAAUUACAAAAAUACCCUCCUCUAAACUCAGAUCUCCUUCCUGUAAGCUAUGUAGAUUUUCCUCCAAUUUUUUUUUUAAAUAAUCAAUCAUCACGGAUCGUGGAGUGGAGAUAGCUAGAUACUCAACCCCCUCACUCCCACUGCCACCACCACACGUAACUUCCACCACUGAUGUGAAUCACACACACCAUUCACCAAACCAAUUUAAUAAUGUUUGGUCUUAAUCUCAAACCAAAAUUCUCCACCACCACUGAUUCCAAUACUGGAAUGGGUAUACUACUAGUCUUGUUCCCUCAAGACAAAUCCACCACCACCAACAAAUUGACCUCUCUUUCAGACUUUCACCAUCAAAAUCCCCUCCAAAACACAAUCCGCCAUUUCCAUUUGUGUCCUCCUCUUUACUAUCUCCACCUCCACUACACGGCGACGCUACUCUCUUCUCUAGAAACUCACUUUCGCCCUUCAAAAAAUGGGCAUUCUGUACAGAAGAGGCACCAGAGCAUGUCCGAUCUCCUCAUCUACCACGUCCCCGAUGAAACCCCAAUCGAGGAUUUCCGCCUCUUCCUCCGCCUCCUCCACCGCUCCUCCCUCACCGCCUCAACCGAUGUCAUUGGCCUCCGCUGGACCUGGAAAAGAAAUCCUCCAUGACCCUGGCUGAUGGCGAGUGGCGACGAGCUUUCUACGAGCGACACAGCGGUUCGACGGCGGCGACGGCGAGAUUGAUGGUGGCUUACCUCUGGUGCUCCACCACCUCUCUCUCUAUCGGUGGCUGCGAAUGGAAAUCCCAUAUCUAAAGUUGCUGAGGGAGGAAUGAAGGAAGUUGCAAAGGGCUUUUGUGUCAUUAAAUUAUUAAAUUUAAAAUAUAAUCAAAAAAUAUUUUACCGGAUAAUCAAGUUUCCCUUUACCUCAGUGACACGUGUUGUGAUGGUAUUGGCCCUCAGAGGUAUGGCACCGGUGCAAUACCUAAUGAGUAUUGCUAGGGAUUGCACCUUAUCCUCCA